rnacentral:rRNA from 1 species
UACGAAGGGGGCGAGCGUUGUUCGGAAUUACUGGGCGUAAAGGGCGCGCAGGCGGCUCUGCAAGUCAGAUGUGAAAGCCCCGGGCUUAACCUGGGAAUUGCAUUUGAUACUCUGGAGCUUGAGUACGGGAGAGGAGAGUGGAAUUCCCAGUGUAGAGGUGAAAUUCGUAGAUAUUGGGAGGAACACCGGUGGCGAAGGCGGCUCUCUGGACCGUAACUGACGCUGAGGUGCGAAAGCGUGGGGAGCAAACAGG